rnacentral:rRNA from 1 species
GGCNAACCCGCAAGGGAGCAGCGGCCCAAGGUAUGAUUCAUGAUUGGGGUG